UACGUAGGGUGCGAGCGUUUGUCCGGAAUUAUUGGGCGUAAAGAGCUUGUAGGCGGUCUGUCGCGUCUGCUGUGAAAAUCCGGGGCUCAACCCCGGACUUGCAGUGGGUACGGGCAGACUAGAGUGUGGUAGGGGAGACUGGAAUUCCUGGUGUAGCGGUGAAAUGCGCAGAUAUCAGGAGGAACACCGAUGGCGAAGGCAGGUCUCUGGCCACUACUGACGCUGGAGAAGCGAAAGCAUGGGGAGCGAACAGG
rnacentral:rRNA from 1 species